rnacentral:rRNA from 1 species
AUUGACGCUGGCGGCAGGCCUAACACAUGCAAGUCGAACGAGGGGAGGACGGGUGAGUAACACGUGGGUAACCGACCCACAGAGGGGGAUAACACGUGGAAACAGGUGCUAAUACCGCAUACUGAUGGAUGGACCCGGGGUGCAUUAGCUAGUUGGUGGGGUAACGGCUCACCAAGGCCACGAUGCAUAGCCGGCCUGAGAGGAUGAUCGGCCACACUGGAACUGAGACACGGUCCAGACUCCUACGGGAGGCAGCAGUGGGGAAUAUUGCACAAUGGGCGCAAGCCUGAUGCAGCCAUGCCGCGUGUAUGAAGAAGGCCUUCGGGUUGUAAAGUACUUUCAGCGAGGAGGCGUUACUCGCAGAAGAAGCACCGGCUAACUCCGUGCCAGCCGCCGCGGUAAUUC